rnacentral:tRNA from 1 species
GUAGCUGGUAAGAAAAUCCCUUGGGGGUAACCCCGUGCCGGUUCGAUUCCGGCCCCGGGCACCA